rnacentral:tRNA from 1 species
AUUCAUAUAGUUUAAAAAAACACUUUAUUUUCAUUAAAGAAAUGAUAAAUUAAUAAUCUAUGAAUU